rnacentral:rRNA from 1 species
ACGGGAGGCAGCAGUGAGGAAUAUUGGUCAAUGGAGGCAACUCUGAACCAGCCAAGUCGCGUGAAGGAAGAAGGCCCUACGGGUCGUAAACUUCUUUUGCAGGGGGAUAAAGUCGGCCACGCGUGGCCGUUUGCAGGUACCCUGUGAAUAAGCAUCGGCUAACUCCGUGCCAGCAGCCGCGGUAAUACGGAGGAUGCGAGCGUUAUCCGGAUUUAUUGGGUUUAAAGGGAGCGUAGGCCGUGCUUUAAGCGUGUUGUGAAAUGUAGGCGCCCAACGUCUGCACUGCAGCGCGAACUGGAGCACUUGAGUACGCAGGAAGUAGGCGGAAUUCGUCGUGUAGCGGUGAAAUGCUUAGAUAUGACGAAGAACUCCGAUUGGGAAGCCAGCUUACUGUAGCGCCACUGACGCUGAUGCUCGAAAGCGUGGGUAUCGAACAGGAUUAGAUACCCUGGUA